rnacentral:antisense_RNA from 1 species
CUUGAUCGACCCCAGCCACAGUGGGUUGUCGCCCCGGUCCUGGCCGUAGGUGGCAAGCAGGGCCUGCGCUUC